rnacentral:lncRNA from 1 species
UAGCCUCGCAGACUCCUCUGUCCAUGGGAUUUCCCAGGCAAGAAUAUUGGAGUGGGUUGCCAUUUCCUCCUCCAGGGGUAAGUCUCUUGAAUGGUUCCUAUAUCUAGUUGGGGUCAUUUUAUAUGGAAGAAUAAUAUCUGGAAAAUCAUGAGAAUAGGAUUUUAACAUUAGUAAGAGCCCAAAGAGGAGAUCUUAAUUGAAACCAGGAUGCAUGGAGAACCCUGGUUAUAGAGGCAGUGUUUUAGGUGGGGAAGCCGGGCUAAAAUCCGUCUAAGAGUGCCUGUUGGACCAAGGCCUUUUUGAAGGAGGCGAUGAGAGUCCCUGACUUAUGAGGAGACAGGGAGAAGGCCUUCUGAUGGCUCUACUGGUAGGAAAUCUGCCCUAAAAUACCACACCCCUCCCCAUCUCCACAAGGGCUUGAAGGCCAAAUGACCGGGAAAGUGGGUCGGUUGGGUUGAACUCCAGGCAGUGGCAGAGCCAGAACUGACCUCUUUCACCCGCGUCUGCUAACCCCUUGGGGCAGCAACGAUGCCAUCUCCGUCGCCGGCAAAAACACACAAAGGAGGCCCCCACCCAGGCUCGAACCUGGGGGCACACUGGAGAGAGGGCUGGCGUGGACCCCGAGUCGGAGAGCCUCCCACCCCCACGGGGAGCAAUAGCUGCCGCCUCCCCGGGGCAGUGGGGCGGUCGCGCCGCACAAAGGCCGGCUCGGCUAGCGCCAUGUGACGCGCGCUCGACCCGCUCUCCCGGCGGCGCGGCGGACGGGUGCGUGUUCCGACCCACCUGAACACUUUCCGAAAGACAAACGCGGUUCCUCCUACUUCGGAGCAAGUCCGGGCCAGCUGGGAUCCGACCAGAAACCGCAAGCGGAGGAGACGCGGGUACGCAGGCUGAGGGUAACGGAGGGCGCGACCUGCCGCCCCGCGCUCUGCCGCGCCAGGCCCGAGGGUAGCGCCUCCCGGUCCUCCCCGCGCCAGGGACGGCAGCCGCCCAGCAGCCCCGCCCGUGGGCCAGGCAGGGCGCCGGGUGCCCGGAGCGUCCCGGCCCCACCUCCACGCCCCACCUCCGCGCACUUCCCGCUUGCCCCAGUGACACCCUUCACCGCUGCUGUCCCCCCAGUAAGGGACAAACCCGUCUCUGAGGGCAGGACGAGAGAAAACCUCAAUAGGUGGAAAGGUUCUUGCAAAUACUUUUAUUUAAGAGUUUUAUAAAGGAUGUCCCAAAGGAUCAGAAUUCAGGGGAGACGCUGAACGAGUUCUCUCAUUGACCUUCAGGACUAUUUCCUAUUUGUAUGGGAGGAAAGAGGUUAAUAACCCCUGUUGAACUUGGAACUAAACUUGAAUGCAAUUUAAAAUAACCAUUAAAAUACACUUAAAACACUAACCACAAUGAUAUGCCUCUUCUCUUUUUUGUGAUAUGAGGGAAGGCUUGGAGUAGUUGUACUUUAGCUGUUGGGGGUUCAUUUUAGAAACACCGUGAAGGAGCAGACUACAGCUGGGGGCGAGGGGCAGGCUUCAGGCAGAGCUGUUCACAGCAGGAAGGCCUGGGUGAGGGGGUGGGGAAGCACUCUUAUACCCCUCUUGAGUGGCACCCGCUGUCCUUUCGGUCAUAAAUUCUAAGAGAGUUCUGGGCUACCCUCUCUUUUUAAUUUCUGUUCUCAGUGAUAUGAGAUGGGAAGUUUCUCAAGUUAGCAUGUUGUCUCAGCCCACAGUAAAGAGCCCCUGGAGGACAGAAAGUCCCAGCUCUUGCCCUCUCCCCUCAGUCCUCUUCUCUCUCUCUCCUCUUGGGUGGCAAUAGCUUGUUUCUGGAGAAAUGUUCUACUAUCAUUUUCCUCAGAUGGAUGUAAGCUGAAGCCUUAAGACCUCCACAGUGUCCUGAACUCCUCCAGCAGUUAAAAUACUGAACCUCUUGUUCUUGGUUCAGAGUCUUCUCUCUUCAGCAGUGCCUACUGAACAGUUCCUACGUGUACUGUGCUGAGCUCUGGGAUAUAAAAAUUGAGUCACUAAUGGUGUAUGCCCUUCAGUCUGCUGGGGUAGAAAAAGAAUCCUAAGAUUAGUAUGACAGAUGCUAUAACAGAGGUGUGGCCAAAAUGUUCCUGGAAUAAAGGAUCAUAGUGUCAAAAAAGGCUUCUCA